rnacentral:rRNA from 1 species
AACGAUCGCUGGCGGCAGGCUUAACACAUGCAAGUCGAACGCCCCGCAAGGGGAGUGGCAGACGGGUGAGUAACGCGUGGGAACAUACCCUUUUCUACGGAAUAGCUCUGGGAAACUGGAAUUAAUACCGUAUACGCCCUACGGGGGAAAGAUUUAUCGGGGAAGGAUUGGCCCGCGUUGGAUUAGCUAGUUGGUGGGGUAAAGGCCUACCAAGGCGACGAUCCAUGGCUGGUCUGAGAGGAUGAUCAGCCACAUUGGGACUGAGACACGGCCCAAACUCCUACGGGAGGCAGCAGUGGGGAAUAUUGGACAAUGGGCGCAAGCCUGAUCCAGCCAUGCCGCGUGAGUGAUGAAGGCCUUAGGGUUGUAAAGCUCUUUCACCGAUGAAGAUAAUGACGGUAGUCGGAGAAGGAGCCCCGGCUAACUUCGUGCCAGCCGCCGCGGUAA